GUAUAUUAUGGAGAGAGUAAGGAUUGAUAGUGUAGAGAUUAGAGAGAGAUUAGAGUGAGAGAGAGAUCAAAGGCAUUAAUUGCCAAUAUUCUUUAAGAUUUGCAAAAUCUCUAUAAGAUCAUCUAAAUCUUGCAAAUCCAUUCAUAUCUCUCAAGCAACUCUCUCUCUCCUUCAUCCUCACCAAUCGGCCACCUCUCUCUCUCUUUUCUCUCUCAUAAUUCCUCCAUUGUCAACCAUUGGAGAGACCUCCGAAGCUUCACCAAAAUAUGCCAAACACAUAAAUCACCAACAAAAUUCCACCUAAACACCUCCUAUCAACUUGAAUCCAAGGAAAUCCUUGAAGAUUGGCUUCAAGACUAGUGAGAGAAAGUUUGUUUGUUGGUGAAAAACUUGAACACGAGCAGAGCAAGGAAGUAAGUAACUCCGCUUUGACGGGAGUUUUUGAGUAAGGUCUUCAGACUAAGCGAGGAGCGAGAUUGGUCUGGUGCUGGCGGGGAAAUGUUGGAGGAUGUAUUUACUUUAUCGUAUUUCCAUUUUGACGAUAAAGUCUUGAUGAUUGAUAUACUUUAAUUUUCUUUUGAAGUUAAGCAAUGUACUCACGGUUAUAUGUCUUCAUACAUAUAAUCGGUUCGCCUUUUACUGCGAUACUCUGCAUAUUAUGAUUCCUUACGAAAAAUGAGCGAUACCCGUUUUGUUUUUGUUCGUGAAAUUCCUGAUAAUUAAAAAGUUAUAACGACAUUGACGAUUUUACCCUUGGGUUCAUUUAUAAUGAUUUCUUUAACACCUUUUGAUGCGAGCUUCCGCUUGAUGUUC